UACGGAGGGGGCCAGCGUUGUUCGGAAUCAUUGGGCGUAAAGGGCGCGUAGGCGGCUUGGUAAGUCCGUUGUGAAAUCCCCCGGCUCAACCGGGGAAUUGCGUCGGAUACUGCCGAGCUUGAGUCCCGGAGAGGGUAGCGGAAUUCCCAGUGUAGCGGUGAAAUGCGUAGAUAUUGGGAGGAACACCAGUGGCGAAGGCGGCUACCUGGACGGGUUACUGACGCUGAGGCGCGAAAGCGUGGGGAGCAAACAGG
rnacentral:rRNA from 1 species